AACAAGUAUCUUCUGUACAGAUGC
rnacentral:siRNA from 1 species